ACUUUCAGAGAUGGAUUGGUGCCUUCGGGAACUCUGAGACAGGUGCUGCAUGGCUGUCCUCAGCUCGUGUUGUGAAAUGUUGGGUUAAGUCACGCAACGAGCGCAACAAUUAUUUGUUGUUGCCAGCGGUUCGGCCGGGAACUCAAAGGAGACUGCCAGUGAUAACCUGGAGGAAGAAGGGGAUGAUGACGUCAAGUCAUCAAAAGCCUUACGGGCUGCACUACACACGUGCUACAAUGGUCGGUACAGAAGGUUGCCAAGCCGAGAGGUGGAACCAAUCUCACUAAUCCGAUCGCAAUCCGGUUUUUAAUCUGCAACUCCACUGCGUGAAGUCAGAUUCCUAGAAUCGCGAAUCAGAAUGUCGCACAGAAUACCUUCCC
rnacentral:rRNA from 1 species